GCCCAGAGAGUUGGUGGAUGCGCCAUCCCUGGAGAUACUCAAGGCUGGAUGUGGUCCUGAGCAGUCUGAUCUCCUUGAAGUUGCUCAUUGCAGAGGGUUUGACUCGAUGCCCGUUGAAGGUCCCUUCCAACCCAAACUAUUCCAUGAUUCUGUGAAGGGCAAAAUCCCAGCCCUGUCUGUUCAUACACCAGCACCUUUCCUUGCUGUUCUUUCCCAUAGCUGCUUACUAGCAGAAGAGGGCCAUUUGUUUGCUAUCUGAUAAGGAGCCUGGUUUUUUUUCUCUUUCUAAGCCUAAUCUGUGUUUGAACCUGUUGGUGUGGAAGGAGAGACGACGACUUCAAAUUACAGUAUCAGCAUUUUCUUUAAUGCCUGUGUUGCCAACCUCCCGCUGUCUGUGUUAGAGCUGGUUUAAUAGUUAACACACACCACUGGAAGCCGGUGUUCCUGUGCUCGGCAUAAAUUUCCUCUGGGAGUUUGGACAUGUCUCCUAAUGACAGCCCCUGUUGUCCUGCCUGUAAAAGGAGUAGUGCUGCAGACAAGCAGAAAUUCAUUCAUAUUCUGUGAACUACUUAAGAGAUCCUCCAGAAAAAGAGCUCAUGCAAAUAUAUAUGCAUAUAAUCAGAUGCCCUUUCAGCUGAAAUGAUCCUAAAAAUGAUAAAUAAUAAAUCCCUGUGGCAAAUUUACAAGUAAUUAUAGAAACUGGUAACUGAGCAAAAUGAUGGAGCGAAAUAUGCCCAGUACAGUUGAGGUGGGCACAGGAUUUUGCUCUUUUGGAAAUGCAAGGUACCUGGACUAAAAGGGGUGGGAUAAGAUGGGUCCCUACGUAGUGGGGUUGUUGGUAAGGGUGCAGGAAGGCACCUGAGCUCCUUAAGCAUUCCUUCCCAGUAUUUACUGAGGAGCUGCAAUGUGUUCCUGUCAGAUGAUCCUCAUUUCAUUCUAACAAUAACUCGAGAGGAUGUUCAACAGUGACUGCUAAAAUUAGAUGCCUGGAAAUCAGGGCUGAAUAAUUGUUGUGGAAGAGCUGGUAUGGGGAUUCUGCAUCCAGGAGACAGGGAGAGGCUUUGAAACAAAGCUCUGCUUCACUGGGAGAAAGGUGGUGCAGAGGCAUGCUUCCAGAGCGAAUCAAAGGUGCUCCAGGUCUUCCUGCCUACCUUCAUUUCAAGGAAAAGCUAUAAAAUGGCUGAUCCUGGGAUUCACUCGAAAUCACAAAGUCAUGGAAUAAUGUUGGUUGGAAGAAACCCCUGGAGGUCCAAGACAUAGGUCUUGCUCAAAGGUCAGUCCAGUUCAUGUAACUAGCGUUUUCAGCAUGAGCUCGGGAGCGAAAUCCAUGCUGGAAUGCCAACAACUUCAACAUGUCCUGCAGGGUGAGAGGUGGCCCAUAGCCUCCUGUGCUUGCCCUCAGUCCCGUUUCCUUCCCUGCGCAGCCUGGGACUGGUUGUCACUUGUGGCUGUUUUCACUGGGGUAUGGAGAACAAAGACUGCGAUGCACUUACUUAACGUUGAUUUAAACACGAUCUAUAGUUUGUGGUUGUUCUCAGUUUGCCUGCAGCGUGGUCAUUUCUGUCACAGCACAUCCAGUGCUGGCUCCUGUGGCUCCACAUGAGCUGGGACCAGUUCAGCAAAGAGCUUCCGGUCUCCUGAUGUGCAGUGGCCAUCACCCCACGACCAGACCCCUGCAGUCAGCCUUCUUGCAUGGAGAAGCCUCUCCACGUUUGGCUCGUGUUCCCAGUGCCGGGCUCAGGAUGCGCAGAGCCGACACCGGGAGCAGCUGUUCCACUUUGUGGAAACUUUCUUGCCUUUUUAAGGCCGUGUUGAGUGCUCUGCUCUAACUUUAGCACAAAGGUUACCCUAAAGGAGCAGGUAAUGCUGAACAAGGCGCUCUGAGUGACUGCGGGAGCUGGGAUUAGGUGCUGGUUCCUCACGCUGUGCUUUUCUGCACCCGCUGGAUGGUGAUAAGCUGCUCUAAAAGGCUUUCUGGGUGCAUGAGCUCUCCCAGUCCCACAGCUGUAAUUUGGAGCAGAGCAAUUAAAGCUUUGGCUUACAAUAAAGCUGGCACCUCUCUCCUCCCUCAAUGUUCUCUGUAGAUUUGCAUCCCCUAUCACGUGCAGCAUCUCUCACAAUGGUGUGGCUGUCCUGCAAGCCAGGUUCUGCGGGCACACUGAUAAAUCAUCUCGCUUUGGACACAGUAGAGCUCUCCUUGCCCUGCUUGCCCAAUGCCCCCAGCUGGCACUGCUGUUUGGCCAGUGCUCAGACCUAGGAGCUCAUAUGCUUGCAUGUCAGUGCUUGUUUCUGGGGCCGUCCUGUAUGCAGUGCCUGAAAUAUUAAUACCAGCAUGCGCAAUGUGCUUUGGGGGAAGCAUCCAUAGCUUUGUUCUCAGGCUGGAAAUCCCUCUCUCCAAAGGGAGCCAGCAGCUCCCCUGCUUUGUUUCCCUAGGAGAGCUGAUUUUCUCCUCCAUGCUUGCAGAAACAUCACUGGCUGCUGCUGCCACCACACCACAGCCAGCUCGGCACAAGCUGGAGGCCAGUGGUGGCCAGAGGGUGGCCAAGGUGACGGGAGCAAUGCCUGGGGUCUUCGUGGUCAUCCUGGUGAUGCGGUUUGUAUGGAUCUCCUUCGGAUACAUUUCUCUAAGCUCUCAGGUUAGCAAAUUCCCCCAGGAAUGCUACGAGCUUCAUUAGAGCUUCUGCUAAAUCACUGGCCAACAUCAUCACAAUGUAUCUUGAAACCUUUUGGACCUGGUGGCUUAGGGAUGCUGUUUGUGGAGCUACUGGGAUGAUCCCACAGGGAAAAUGCUGCUGGUGUAGCACGACGGAGCACCUUCAGCCACAGAGGCUGCCGAGUGGAGAAGGUCUCACCAAAACCCUGAUGAGGGGAAAGCAGGGAAGGAAAGGGAAGAGCAAGAUCGGCAGAGGCUGGCACAGAGCCCUGACUGUUCAUGGUGGAGGGCUCGCCCUGGGAAAGGCUGCGUAGUGCAGGGUGUAUGGACCGUGGCAAGGGAAAGGUAUGUGGACCUGCAGCUGGUAGAUUAUCCCCUCUACUGCACAGGGUUGACAGCUGGUCCAUGCCUCCUUCCUGUGUAGAUGUGAGGACAACUGGAAGGAUGUAUGGAAGAGAUCAGUUGCUGCCAGAGCAGCUUGUGGUGGCCACAGCCUGUCCAGGCUUGUGGAAAUGAGCUGAAGCUGGACAUCUCUCUGGGGCGAGAUGGCCUGGAGGAAGGUCACUGGUUUGAAGAGCUGGUGCUUCACCUGGUUCUCUGACUAAUUCACUCAGAGCUCCAAACAUGACCAGACACCAUCUUAAUCACAGUCCCAUUCCCAUGGCACAGCAUCCAGUGCCUGUCUGGUGUGGCUUUUCGGCAUACCCCACACAAAGAUGAAAUGGUGGACAUCUGCAGAAAGAGCAGGAGGGAAAAAUGUGUGGAAAGGGGAAUCUCCAGGAGGAAGAAACAUUCCUAGAGGAGGAAGUGAAGCAACGGGAACGGCUCUGCUACACUCGCCAGGCAACGAAGUGCCUUUCGCACAAAAUCACGGUCGAGACUGGCGCCGACUCUCCCUCUUGUGGACAAUCGCCUCUAUUUUGUGUAGUGUCUGGUGGCUGCCGCUAGCAGCCUUGAAACUCGGAUGGUUUUGCUGUGAGCUGAAAUGAGAUGGUUGGACGUGAUGGUUCACAAUAACUCCUGUAUUAAAUAUCCCUGUGAAUUAGGCUAAGAGAUUGGGUUGAUCUGCAGAGCCGGUACCUGGAGUGCCCCUGACAUCAGGCUCAUCACUCAGCAAAUGAGAGGCACAUAGAACCACAGAAUGGUUUGGGUUGGAAGGGACCUUAAAGCUCACCCAGUUCCAGCCCCCUGCCAUAGGCAGGGACACCUUCCACUAGAGCAGGUUGUUCCAAGCCCCGUCCAACCUGGUCAUCUCUGCCAGUA